GCGGCCGCCGAUUGAUUCGUUAAACGUUUGGAUUGCCGCUUCUUCACGGGGCCGGAACUCCGUGAUAAACACAUGCCCAUUUCUGAUUGAUUGAUAUUCACAUGCAACAGAUUUACACAGGUAUGUACAAUAAGAAUUACGUAUACGUACAAGUAUCUGAUGCUUGCCCCAAAGCAGUUGAGAGUUGAGAGAGAUGAAGAUGGUUAGCAGUAUUGCUUUAUUUGUUUAGAACUGCUUUCAGAAGUAAAGGUGAUAAAAAGUGUGUGUGCAGUCGAUAUGAAAAUGCCCAUAAUUUUGGUUUAUAUUACUAAAAUAACCUUUAAUUUUCCUGUUGCCGUUUGCAAAUAAAACGGGGGACGUGUGUAAGAUGUGGGAGAUAAGUCUUCGUUAUGGG
rnacentral:lncRNA from 1 species